rnacentral:rRNA from 1 species
UACGUAGGGUGCAAGCGUUAAUCGGAAUUACUAGGCGUAAAGCGUGCGCAGGCGGUUUGUAAGUCUGUCGUGAAAUCCCCGGGCUCAACCUGGGAAUUGCGAUGGAGACUGCAAGGCUAGAAUCUGGCAGAGGGGGGUAGAAUUCCACGUGUAGCAGUGAAAUGCGUAGAGAUGUGGAGGAACACCGAUGGCGAAGGCAGCCCCCUGGGUCAAGAUCGACGCU